UAGAGGUCCUGCGCCGAAAAUGUCCGGGGCUAAAACACACUGCCGAAGCUUUGGAAUUGAGAAUUCAAUUGGUAGAGGAGCAUUCUUAAAGGGACGAAGCAGUACCGGAAGGAGCUGUGGACUUUUAAGAAGGGAGAAUGCCGGAAUGAGUAGCGAGAGGAAGGUGGGAAUCCUUCCGGCCGAAUAUCUAAGGUUUCCAGAGUAAAGCUGAUCUGCUCUGGGUAAGUCGGGGCCUAAGGCGAGGUCGAAAGACGUAGUCGAUGGAUAACAGGUUGAAAUUCCUGUACUAUCCUGUAACAGAACUGUGGGGACACAGGCAGAGAGCGUGAGCCGGGAAUGGAAAGACCGGUACAAGCGAGGUAGGAGAAGGGUUGGCAAAUCCGCUCUUUAAUCUGAAGACGUGAUGUGGACUGAAAAUAAGUAGGGAAGCACGUGAGCUGACUGUCAAGAAAAGCCGCUAUUGUUUGCAGGACACCCGUACCGUAAACCGACACAGGUGGAUGAGGAGAGAAUCCUAAGGCCGACGGGAGAAGCAUUGUUAAGGAACUCGGCAAAAUGACUCCGUAACUUCGGGAGAAGGAGUGCCAGUAAGAUGGCCGCAGAGAAUUGGCCCAAGCAACUGUUUAGCAAAAACACAGGUCUAUGCAAAACCGAAAGGUGAGGUAUAUGGGCUGACGCCUGCCCGGUGCUGGAAGGUUAAGGGGAGAGGUUAGCGCAAGCGAAGCUUUGAACUUAAGCCCCAGUAAACGGCGGCCGUAACAAUAACGGUCCUAAGGUAGCGAAAUUCCUUGUCGGGUAAGUUCCGACCCGCACGAAAGGCGUAAUGAUUUGGGCACUGUCUCAACAAUGCACCCGGUGGAAUUGAAAUACCAGUGAAGAUGCUGGUUACCUGCGCCAGGACGGAAAGACCCCAUGGAGCUUUACUCCAGCUUGAUACUGGGAUUCGGUAUUGCAUGUACAGGAUAGGUGGGAGGCUAGGAAAUGGUAACGCCAGUUGCCAUGGAGCCAAUGUUGGGAUACCACCCUUGCAGUACUGGGUUUCUAACCAGCAGCCGUGAUCCGGCUGGGGGACAAUGUCAGGUGGGGAGUUUGACUGGGGCGGUCGCCUCCGAAAGGGUAUCGGAGGCGCUCAAAGGUUCCCUCAGAAUGGUUGGAAACCAUUCGAAGAGUGCAAAGGCAGAAGGGAGCUUGACUGCGACACCGACGGGUGGAGCAGGUACGAAGUAGGACUUAGUGAUCCGGUGGUAUAAAGUGGGAUUGCCAUCGCUCAACGGAUAAAAGCUACCCUGGGAUAACAGGCUUAUCACUCACAAGAGUUCACAUCGACGGAGUGGUUCGGCACCUCGAUGUCGGCUCAUCGCAUCCUGGGGCUGAAGUAGGUCCCAAGGGUUGGGCUGUUCGCCCAUUAAAGCGGUACGCGAGCUGGGUUCAGAACGUCGUGAGACAGUUCGGUCCCUAUCCGGCGUGGGCGUAAGAUAUUUGAGAGGAGCUGUCCUUAGUACGAGAGGACCGGGAUGGACUGGCCACUGGUGUAUCUGUUGUCUUACCAAAGGCAUAGCAGAGUAGCCAAGCCGGGAAGGGAUAAACGCUGAAGGCAUCUAAGCGUGAAGCCCCCCUCAAGAUGAGAUAUCUCAUAACGUCAAGUUAGUAAGACCCCUUGAAGACGACGAGGUAGAUAGGGCAGAGGUGGAAGUGUGGUAACACAUGGAGCUGACUGUUACUAAUAGGUCGAGGGCAUAACCA
rnacentral:rRNA from 1 species